GGGAGAGUACAGAGAAUCGGCAAACUCGGCGGUCUGUAAAACCGUUCCUCUAACGAGGGCAGUGGGGUCGGCACCCACCUCUCCCACCA
rnacentral:tRNA from 1 species